UGAGUACGAGAUGCUACGGCAUCGAAGCAGUCUAUGUCAUACUUCCGAGAAAAGCUUGCACUGUCAUAAACAAAGAAUGCCUGUACCAUAACCGACACAGGUGGGUAGGUAGAGUAUACUAAGGGGCGCGAGAUAACUCUCUCUAAGGAACUCGGCAAAAUGACUCCGUAACUUCGGGAGAAGGAGUGCCUAUUUCUAAGGUUGCAAUAACAAGAUCCAAGCAACUGUUUAUCAAAAACACAGGCCUCCGCUAAGUCGUAAGACGAUGUAUGGGGGCUGACGCCUGCCCAGUGCCAGAAGGUUAAAGAAGUUGGUUAGCAUUAGCGAAGCUGAUAACUGAAGCCCUGGUGAACGGCGGCCGUAACAAUAACGGUCCUAAGGUAGCGAAAUUCCUUGUCGGGUAAGUUCCGACCCGCACGAAAGGCGUAAUGAUUUGGAUACUGUCUCGGAGAGGGGCUCGGUGAAAUAGACUUGUCUGUGAAGAUGCGGACUACCUGCACCUGGACAGAAAGACCCUAUGAAGCUUUACUGUAACUUGAGAUUGAAAUUGGACUUUAUUUGCGCAGUAUAGGUGGGAGGCGUUGAGAAUAAUCUUGCGGGAUUGUUGGAGCCAUCAGUGAGAUACCACUCUUGUAAUGUUAGAUUUCUAACUUUGUAUCAUUAUCUGGUCAAAGAACAGUUUCAGGCGGGCAGUUUGACUGGGGCGGUCGCCUCCCAAAGGGUAACGGAGGCGCACAAAGGUUUCCUCUGAACGGGUAGAAAUCGUAUCUAGAGUGUAAAGGCAUAAGGAAGCUUGACUGUGAGACCUACAAGUCGAGCAGGGACGAAAGUCGGUCUUAGUGAUCUGACGGUGCUGAGUGGAAAGGCCGUCACUCAACGGAUAAAAGUUACUCUAGGAUAACAGGCUGAUCUCCCCCAAGAGUUCACAUCGACGGGGAGGUUUGGCACCUCGAUGUCGGCUCAUCGCAUCCUGGGGCGGUAGUCCGUCCCAAGGGUUGGGCUGUUCGCCCAUGAAAGCGGUACGCGAGCUGGGUUCAGAACGUCGUGAGACAGUUCGGUCCAUAUCCGGUGUAGGCGUUAGAAUAUUGAGAGGAGCCUUCUCUAGUACGAGAGGACCGAGAAGGACAUACCUCUGGUGUACCAGUUAUCGUGCCAACGGUAAACGCUGGGUAGCUAUGUAUGGAGUGGAUAACCGCUGAAAGCAUCUAAGUGGGAAGCCCACCUCAAGAUAAGUAUUCU
rnacentral:rRNA from 1 species